AUUGAACGCUGGCGGCAUGCUUUACACAUGCAAGUCGAACGGUGACAGGCCGCAAGGUGCUGACGAGUGGCGAACGGGUGAGUAAUGCAUCGGAACGUGCCCAGUCGUGGGGGAUAACGCAGCGAAAGCUGCGCUAAUACCGCAUACGAUCUAUGGAUGAAAGCGGGGGACCGUAAGGCCUCGCGCGAUUGGGGCGGCCGAUGUCAGAUUAGGUAGUUGGUGGGGUAAAGGCUCACCAAGCCAACGAUCUGUAGCUGGUCUGAGAGGACGACCAGCCACACUGGGACUGAGACACGGCCCAGACUCCUACGGGAGGCAGCAGUGGGGAAUUUUGGACAAUGGGCGCAAGCCUGAUCCAGCAAUGCCGCGUGCAGGAAGAAGGCCUUCGGGUUGUAAACUGCUUUUGUACGGAACGAAACGGUCUGGGUUAAUACCUCGGGCUAAUGACGGUACCGUAAGAAUAAGCACCGGCUAACUACGUGCCAGCCGCCGCAGUAAAAC
rnacentral:rRNA from 1 species